CAGUUCAGAGUUCCAGAGGUACAGAAUGGUCUGGCAGGCUCGAGGUCAGGGCAGGCAGAAUGGUCAGGCAGGCUCGAGGUCAGAGCAGGCAGAAUGGUCAGGCAGGCUCGAGGUCAGGGCAGGCAGAAUGGUCAGGCAGGCUCGAGGUCAGGGCAGGCAGAAUGGUCAGGCAGGCUCGAGGUCAGGGCAGGCAGAAUGGUCAGGCAGGCUCGAGGUCAGGGCAGGCAGAAUGGUCAGGCAGGCUCGAGGUCAGGGCAGGCAGAAUGGUCAGGCAGGCUCGAGGUCAGGGCAGGCAGAAUGGUCAGGCAGGCUCGAGGUCAGGGCAGGCAGAAUGGUCAGGCAGGCUCGAGGUCAGGGCAGGCAGAAUGGUCAGGCAGGCUCGAGGUCAGGGCAGGCAGAAUGGUCAGGCAGGCUCGAGGUCAGGGCAGGCAGAAUGGUCAGGCAGGCUCGAGGUCAGGGCAGGCAGAAUGGUCAGGCAGGCUCGAGGUCAGGGCAGGCAGAAUGGUCAGGCAGGCUCGAGGUCAGGGCAGGCAGAAUGGUCAGGCAGGCUCGAGGUCAGGGCAGGCAGAAUGGUCAGGCAGGCUCGAGGUCAGGGCAGGCAGAAUGGUCAGGCAGGCUCGAGGUCAGGGCAGGCAGAAUGGUCAGGCAGGCUCGAGGUCAGGGCAGGCAGAAUGGUCAGGCAGGCCGGAAUGGAGUCCAG